rnacentral:rRNA from 1 species
GGUGAACGCUAGCGGCAGGCCUAACACAUGCAAGUCGAGGGGCAGCACGGAUUGCUUGCAAUCUGGUGGCGACCGGCGCACGGGUGCGUAACGCGUAUACAACCUACCUUUUGGAGGGGAAUAGCCCAGAGAAAUUUGGAUUAAUACCCCAUAGUAUAUAGGAAUCUCCUGAUUUUUAUAUUAAACAUUUAUGGCCAUUAGAUGGGUAUGCGUCCUAUUAGCUAGUUGGUGUGGUAACGGCACACCAAGGCUACGAUAGGUAGGGGUCCUGAGAGGGAGAUCCCCACACUGGUACUGAGACACGGACCAGACUCCUACGGGAGGCAGCAGUGAGGAAUAUUGGACAAUGGGCGAGAGCCUGAUCCAGCCAUGCCGCGUGCAGGAAGACUGCCCUAUGGGUUGUAAACUGCUUUUACAGAGGAAGAACCACCCCCACGUGUGGGGGUUUGACGGUACUCUGCGAAUAAGGAUCGGCUAACUCCGUG